ACUCCUACGGGAGGCAGCAGUGGGAAUAUUGCACAAUGGGCGAAAGCCUGAUGCAGCAAUGCCGCGUGUGUGAAGAAGGCCUGCGGGUUGUAAAGCACUUUUAUCGGGAAAGAAAAACCAGGCUAAUACCUGGUCUUGACGUACCCGUUGAAUAAGCACCGGCUAACUCCGUGCCAGCAGCCGCGGUAAUACGGAGGGUGCAAGCGUUAAUCGGAAUUACUGGGCGUAAAGCGAGUGUAGGCGGCGACGUAAGUCGGAUGUGAAAGCCCCGGGCUCAACCUGGGAAUGGCAUUCGAUACUGCGUGGCUG
rnacentral:rRNA from 1 species